CUUUACUGCACUAGAAAGAGCGAGAAGAGCAGGAAGAGAUGACUAGUGAGAAACCAGAAUCAAGUAAAGCAGAACACAACUCAGCUGUUGGGUUCCCUAUCAUAUGGUCUAUUUACCUGCAAGUGAGAAAUCUCAUACUUUUUCCUUUUAAUCCUUGCUAUUUUAAGUUCAAUCCAUGCCCCAUUUUAUCAAAUUGUCAUAGAUAUGUUUCUGGGUUCUCUUUUAGUUCGUAGUUGCAUACUGAAAGAUUGAAUCUUUGUUGAACAUUUGUACACCAUUUAUCAAAAUGGGUACUUGUUUUAUAUGGCAAGUAAAGAUCAGUCCUUGGUUCCCUGUUUUUCUGCUGAUGUUUGACAUGGCUAUUUCAUUGAAUUAGGCAAUUGAUAGUUCUUGCCAUAAUUUUCUUUUCUUGCUUGAUAAUUUCUAUUCAUUUCAGUUUUAGAAAUAUAAUCGACUACUAGGGUUUCUCUUUCCUAACAUGGAUUCAGAGAUACUCAAAAUCUUCCAUAAAAGAGGAAAGGAAGGAAGAAAUAAUGUCCAGAAAAUGUCCAUCACAUAAAAGUGCCAGAUUUGAUCUGCUAUUUUCCUCUUAUUGAGUCUGGAUGCAGUAUUUGGUGUCAUUGCUUUCUUUCUUGCACCUAACAUAGGGGCAUCAACCCUAAAAUUGAAACUUGACCCUCAAUAGAACUUUGUGUUUUUCUCCCCCACUUUUGGCCAUAUGCUUUAAGAAAGAAAGAAAAAAACUUUUGCCUUUUGACUAUUGACACUUGAAGCUAUGAUAUUUGUUUGCUUUUCAAAAAUUAAAGUUGGACAAUAGAUUGCUCAUAUCCUUGAGAUUCUUACUGUGUGCCUAAUUAUAAUGACAUAUUUGAAGUAAACAGAAAUAGAGGAUCAUCAGCUCCUUCUAUAUGAUGUAAAUCUUUGUAAGUUAAUCAAUGGCGUACUUUAUUCUUUCUUUGCUUAUAUGUUUCAAGGUUUAACAAGUUUGGUUCUGAUUCUAUAUGCAGAGUUGGAAGGAUUAAUGUUUCUACUAAUCUUGAUUGAUCUCCAAGUUCUCAAAGAGUAGCAAACAAACAGGUGUCAUAUUUAUUUCUAGAUUUGAAGCAUUUUUCUAUCUAAAUACUGCUAUUAUUUAUUGCACCUGCACUCCCUUGAGAAGCUGGCAAUUCCAAUGAACUUUGCUCCUCUGUUGAUGAUGAUGGAAUGCAAUGAUAAAUGCCUUGAACAUGGGGGUCUAUCCUGGUCAUGGGAGUGAUCAUACAUUAGACGGCUGUCAAUUGCUGUGGUUCACAGUUUGCUUUAUCUUCUCCUAAACUUGAAUUGUCCUUUGCUCUACAUUGACAUUACCACAUUUGCAUUUAAUUUCAAAAAGAUUAGUUGAAUUCCAGAAAUUAAGGUAUUAAAACAAUUUCAACUUUUUGCUACAGAAAUUUUCUGAAUGGAUUUGGAAAAAAUACUUGACACUAUGUAAGUGCAUUAAAGGAGGAAAAAUUUAUUAGUUUACAAAGGAUGAAAACCAGGGCUGAAACUAUGCUUAUGAGUUGUGUGUUAAACUUCUCUCUUUGGAUCUUAUUUAACACUUCCUUCUUUCAUCAGAUACUGAUUGCUACAAAAAUCCAAUAGGUCUUGCCAUUUUCUUGUAGUCUUGUUCUCAACUGCUAUGAAAACUUCUUGCAAUUUCUCAUUCUUUUCCUCCACUACCACUGUCACCUAUGCUUUCCAUAAUGGCCACACCACUCCUAAAGAAACCAAGGAAAUUCCCAUUGACUCUCCCUCCGAAGAUCCCAUUAUCCCCAUAACCGACCAUCUUCCUCAGCCAGAUGCCGCCACCAAGAUCCAAUCUGCCUACAGGGCUCAUGUAAUCCGCACCCUCUACAGAAAGAUAUCAUCAGUCAAUUCCGAAGCUGAUCAACUGCAACGCCAAAUCCAACGGCAAGAGACAGUGGAUGCCAUUAGGACUAAUGAACGAGAGAAACUCAGAAUUAAUGAGGCCUUGAUGGGUUUACUUUUAAGGCUGGACUCGGUACCUGGGUUCAAUCCAACAGUGAGGGAGGCACGGAGGAAGGUCAGCCGUAGGAUUGUGGGGCUGCAGGAGAUUGUGGAUGGGAUAUGUGGAAGUGCUGGCCAUGAUUGGUGUGUUGGUUGUGGGUUUGCAAGGGAUUGGAAUGAGGUGUUAGCAGAGAUGGAGAGGCAGGUUUGUAAGGAAAGAGGUGGUGAGGAGAUGGAGAGGUUCUCUGCUGAAUAUCUUGGGUUUAGAUGUUUGCAGAGGUUUCUGUGUGAGCCAUGAAAAAUGCUAGAGGUUACUUUCUUCUUGUGGUAUAAGGAUAUAUGUCACACAUGUAUAAAUGAAGAUUAGCUCUAAAUAUAUAUCUUGUAUUUUAGAUUUUUCUUUGUAGUUAUUCAAGUUCUGAUGAUAAUUAAUUUUCUACAUCCUUUUGUAACAACUCAAGAAACAAAAAAAAAAGACUUCAUUCAAAAGAAAAGAUUAAUGCAUUUCUACCUCCUUUUUCCAAUUAAUUUUUCUUGUUCUUGAUUGUAGCCCUU
rnacentral:misc_RNA from 1 species